UACGGAGGGUGCAAGCGUUGCUCGGAAUCACUGGGCGUAAAGCGACCGCAGGCGGCCUGACAAGUCGGAUGUGAAAGCCCUGGGCUCAACUCAGGAAUUGCAUUCGAAACUGGCAGGCUCGAGUACGGGAGAGGGGGGGUGGAAUUCCUGGUGUAGGGGGUGAAAAUUCGUUUGAUAUUCGCAAGAACACCAGUGGCGAAGGCGGCUCACUGGUCCGGUACUGACGCUGAG
rnacentral:rRNA from 1 species